AUUGAACGCUAGCGGGAUGCCUUACACAUGCAAGUCGAACGGAGUGGCGAACGGGUGAGUAAUGUAUCGGAACGUGCCCAGUAGCGGGGGAUAACUACGCGAAAGCGUAGCUAAUACCGCAUACUAUUGGAGCGGCCGAUAUCGGAUUAGCUAGUUGGUGGGGUAACGGCCCACCAAAGCGACGAUCCGUAGCUGGUUUGGGAGGACGACCAGCCACACUGGGACUGAGACACGGCCCAGACCCCUCGGGGAGGCAGAAGUGGGGAAGUUUGGACAAUGGGGGAAACCCUGAUCAAGCCAUCCCGGGUGUGCGAGGAGGGCAUUCGGGUUGUAAAGCACUUUUGGCAGGAAAGCGGUACCUGCAGAAUAAGCACCGGCUAACUACGUGCCAGCCGCCGCGGUAAUC
rnacentral:rRNA from 1 species